UGAGCACUGCACAGAGGAUAG
rnacentral:misc_RNA from 1 species